GUUGCCAAUGAACUUUGAGGAGCUCGAACCACCUGAUGCCUGAUGCUGCUGGCUCUGCUCCUGGAGCUGCUUUGUGUUGAGGAACCGCCCUCCUGAUCCUCGAGCUCGCUUCAUGGCGUGACGGUGUCGAGACUCAUGAAGCAAAAGCUGAAGAACAAUCAGAAGUGAGCUCAUGUCUGCCUUCCGACAAAAUUACCAGCUUCAACAGGCAACAUAACCGGAGCAUUUGUUGUAUGAUUUUGCUGGGGAUGGACCUAGAUGCAUAUAGUACAGAAAUGGCAAUAUUAUUGCAAGGUAUCAAGAAUGACACCUAGGAUGCCAUAGUCAAGGUAUCAAGAAUGACAUCUAGGAUGCCAUAGUACGGAAAUUCCAGAAUGCAUGGUUUUACUUUUGUAUUCCUUCAGGUCUUUUAUCAAAAAUCAAUGCAAAUUGAAAGGCUACAAUAAUUUUUCCAAAAGUGCCACUGCAAUUGUAUGUGCAUUCCCAACCUUUGUAUGAGGCACAAGGAAUAAUAACCAAAUCCAGCAACAAGGAAACAGAAAGAAUGUCUUUCGCAA